rfam:Pasteurellaceae bacterium 15-036681 NODE_5_length_87200_cov_78.1225, whole genome shotgun sequence.
CCAUCAUCACCAUUUACCUGAAUAAUCUUUCGGGCAUUUGGCUUGUUCGGAAGACACUUCCGAGCGUGGCACAUUGAGAGUAGCAUCCAAAACCAUAUUCUCCCCCUCGGAAGAGCGCUUUCGAGGGGGUUUCUUU